rfam:Rhodococcus jostii RHA1, complete genome.
CGAGUCGAGCUUGUCGACUUGUUUGAUCGUCAAUGUCCGAUCGAACCGCAGUCAACGAAGGCUGCGGACCGACUACGGGAGAGAACGCUGAGCGUCAUCAA